rnacentral:rRNA from 1 species
UACGAAGGGGGCUAGCGUUGCUCGGAAUCACUGGGCGUAAAGGGUGCGUAGGCGGGUCUUUAAGUCAGGGGUGAAAUCCUGGAGCUCAACUCCAGAACUGCCUUUGAUACUGAGGAUCUUGAGUUCGGGAGAGGUGAGUGGAACUGCGAGUGUAGAGGUGAAAUUCGUAGAUAUUCGCAAGAACACCAAUGGCGAAGGCGGCUCACUGGCCCGAUACUGACGCUGAGGCACGAAAGCGUGGGGAGCAAACAGG